rnacentral:lncRNA from 1 species
UUCUCUGGACAUGAGAGUUCUUCACGGGCCAGCACUCCGCCCCAUACAACAUUGCAGGUCUAACCACAGCUCUAUAAAAUUUUCCCUUGAAUUUAUGUGGAACUUUCUUAUCACACAGGACUCCUGAUGCAAGCCUCCACUUUGACCACCCCGCUCCUAUACGAUGAUUGACGUCCCCGUCAAUCUCUCCGUCCCCCUGAAUCACCGACCCAAGUUAUCUGACACUGUCCCUCUUGACGAUGACCUGAGAUCCAAUCAUCACGUCCCUGCCUACUUCGCUCGGCUCGGCGCUAAACUUGCACUCCCCCAACCCAAAUGAACGGGCCCCUUUAAAACGGAUCAGAGAUGACUAAACAAAACCAAUCAACCCAAAUGAUCAAACAAAAAUCAAAUCCAGUGACUAAGAAGAGAAACAUUUCAGAACUAAAUGAUUUUUUGCAAAUAAGCCUAACUUAUGCUAUUAACCAAUUUGAAAACAAAGACAGGUUAAGACUGAUUCAACUAACAAAAAUAACGAAACAAAUGAAAGUAAUAAUACGUAUAUAAGAAAAACAGAAAAUAAUGCAAAAACUUAGAAAUAACAGAGAAAAGAGGGGAAAGGUGCCAAUUUAUGCCAGAAUGAAGUAACAAAUUGAAAUGACUCAAUGAACGAUGAAAGGAGUCGAAGCUUGACCGGAAUCCGGUGAGUCAGUCAAAAUUCGAAAUAUUCGUAAUGACUCAAAACUCUCAUCAAUGGAUUGCUCUCAUUGAUAGCAAUCUAUUAACGUAAGAUUCGAGUUAAAACGAGUCGAAAUUGGAGGCAAAAUCAGAAAAAGAAAGGGAAAUUAGAGUAACAAUUUUCCGUUUUAUUUGGUUGGAUUCUAAGGAAAGAUACUGAUAGAUUUGGCAAGAAAGAGGGACAAGGAUUGCAUGGUAGAAUUUUUGGGGUGGUUUGAAGCACACCGCUGGCCGGUGAGGGUUGGGGAUUUAGGGCGGCUGGGUUCGAUUAGGGUUUGUUUAGAAAC